rnacentral:rRNA from 1 species
GUGAACGCUGGCGGCGUGCUUAAGACAUGCAAGUCGAACGGGCUCUUCGGAGCUAGUGGCGCACGGGUGAGUAACGCGUAACUGACCUACCCCAAAGUCGCGGAUAACGAUUCGAAAGAAUCGCUAAUACGUGAUGUGCUGCUCCCUCCUGUGGGAUCAGUAAAGAUUUAUUGCUUUGGGAUGGGGUUGCGUUCCAUCAGCUAGUUGGCGGGGUAAAGGCCCACCAAGGCGACGACGGAUAGCCGGCCUGAGAGGGUGGCCGGCCACAGGGGCACUGAGACACGGGUCCCACUCCUACGGGAGGCAGCAGUUAGGAAUCUUCCACAAUGGGCGAAAGCCUGAUGGAGCGACGCCGCGUGAGGGAUGAAGGUCUUCGGAUCGUAAACCUCUGAAUCAGGGACGAAAGACACUUCGGUGGGAUGACGGUACCUGAGUAAUAGCACCGGCUAACUCCGU